rnacentral:rRNA from 1 species
AACGAACGCUGGCGGCAUGCCUAACACAUGCAAGUCGAACGAAGCCUUCGGGCUUAGUGGCGCACGGGUGCGUAACGCGUGGGAAUCUGCCCUUGGGUUCGGAAUAACAGUUAGAAAUGACUGCUAAUACCGGAUGAUGUCUUCGGACCAAAGAUUUAUCGCCCAAGGAUGAGCCCGCGUAGGAUUAGGUAGUUGGUGGGGUAAUGGCACACCAAGCCGACGAUCCUUAGCUGGUCUGAGAGGAUGAUCAGCCACACUGGGACUGAGACACGGCCCAGACUCCUACGGGAGGCAGCAGUGGGGAAUGUUGGACAAUGGGCGAAAGCCUGAUCCAGCAAUGCCGCGUGAGUGAUGAAGGCCUUAGGGUUGUAAAGCUCUUUUACCAGGGAUGAUAAUAACAGUACCUGGAGAAUAAGCUCCGGCUAACUCCGUGCCAGCCGCCGCUGUAA